AAAUCAUUUAUGAUACAAUAUAGUAAUCAUAUAUUACCAAUUGGGUUUUUUAUAAACGGAGCCUGUAUACUUCAUUUUAUUGAUCCAACUAAGCCAACCAUAAAUUAUUUGAUAAUAUUAAUCUAGAUCCCCCCAAAAAUAAAAUGGAUCUAAUUGAAUUUCACGCUCCAAAUUGUUGAUGAUUCAAUCAAUCUUUCUUGGGCGAAACAGAGGAUAUCUCGAUCGAGGUUGUUCUGCCGGAUCGGUCGCUCAAGACCUUUGGUCUCUUCUACUAUCAGACAUCGAAAAUGAUGCCAAAUGAUCUACGAUAAUACUCCUCUUAAUAGAGUUUUGUGAAACAUAUCAGAUGUUGAACUCAAUCAACAACACUAACCAUAUCAUCAAUCUACCUAUCAAUGUGGGUCUGAAACAAAUAUCUCAAGGGAUUUAAGCGAGAGAUCAGAUGUACAGAAUACUCAAUCAUAUAAUGUCUCAGUCUUUGGAAGCCCAAACCAAUGCUAAGAAAAAGCACUCAAUCAUAAAAUGUAACAUCUCAUACUCCAGCAUCCUCUAACUCAGAUAGUAAAUAGCUCGCUCCUUUCCUAUGUCAUUGAGUUAAGCUAACAUGCAUCCCAGGGCCAUGUCUAAAAGUGACAAGUACAAAAGUGGUAGGUGUUUUAGAAUAGGAGGCACUAAAAUUGGAGGAGAAAAUACAUACUCCUUAGUCCUCUUGAAAGCUUGUUGACAAUCAUCAUUUCGAACUGUAAACUGGUUCUUCCUCAAAAGAUGGAAGAUAGCUCACAUAUGUCUAUCAAUCUAGCUAUGAAACAACUAAUGUAUUGUAAUCUGCCCAGAAAACCCCUGAUCUAUUUCUCAAUCUUCGGUGCAGGCAUAUCAAGUAUAACUCUGAUCUUAUCUGGAUCAACCUCUAUACCUCGCUUAGUGACCAUAUAUCCUAGUAGUUUCCCAAAAGUCACUCCAAAGGUGCACUUCUUGGGGUUCAACCUCAACCUGAACUUUUGAAUCCUUUCAAAGAAUCUCUUUAAAGCUUCUAGGUGAUUUGCUUUAUCUCGGGAUUUCACAAUCAUAUCAUCAAUGUAUACCUCAACAUCCCUAUGCAUCGUAUCAUGAAACAAAGUAGUAGCAAUCCUCUUAUAAGUGGUUCCUCUGUUCUUCAACCCUAAUGGCAUGACUCUAUAGCAAUAGGUACCCCACUCAAUAAUGAAGGCAUUCUUCUCCACGUCAUCUAGAGCCAUCAAAAUUUGAUUAUACCCAAAAAAACUCAUUCAUGAAAGACAACAUCGAAUGGCCUACAAUGUUAUGAACCAACAUAUCAAUAUGUGGGAAGGGAAAAUCAUCCUUAGGACUAGCUUUAUUAAGGUCUCUAAAGUCAACACAAACUCUAACUUUGUCGUCUAUUUUUAGGACAGGAAUGACAUUAGCCAACCACUCAGGAUACUCAACCACUAAUAUAAAACCAACAUUAAGUUGUUUCUAAAUCACCUCUUUUACAUGCAAACUCCAACGAGGGUGUAAUCACCUCAACUUCUGCUAAACCAAUCUAGCAUGUGGCAGAAUAGGCAAGUGGCGUUGGACUAUGGAGGGAUCCAACCUUUGCACAUCCUCAUAUGACCAUGCAAACACAUCUAAAUAAACUAUGAGUAACUAAAUAAGGUUGACCCUCCCUUUUGCAAACAAUAAAGUACAAAUUUGGAACUCUUGAUGCUGAUCCCUAGUACUACAAGCAAUAGUCUUAAAAUCCUCAUCUACAAGCUCAACUCCGUGACCUAAAUGACUAGAAAGGGUCUUUGAAUCUGAAUUAGGUGAUUAAGGCUCAUCAUCUACGUCAAAAACAUGUGAAGUGGAUGGAUGUUGUGACAAACUAAGAGAAUAAUCUUACACACAAUCAUAACACACAGGGAAAUACUCAAAAUAACUCAUAUCCAUAGAUGAAAUAGUAGGCAAAUCAUAAAAAAUAUGGGAGACAUCCCGACAUGACAUCAAAAGAAACAUUCUGCCAAACAGAUGGGCCUGCCUACAUUAACAGUCUCAACGACAAGAGUAAUAAAAACCUCAAGUAUCACUGUCCAAGCUCCAAACGGUGGAGUGACCUCGGGAAUCAAUGGAUCUAUCUCGACAACACUCUCAAUAGCCAUCACACCAAACACAUCAAACAACCCAAAUAUUGGCGUCUUAAUUGAUCCUGACAUUUGUUUCACGACUAAUAGGUCCAACUCAUGUCAAUAAUCAUCCUCAAGAGUUGCACCAUCAAAGAAACCCUCUACCAGAUCUGAACUCCCAUAUUCAUCCAUCUCUCCAGGAAAGUAUGAGGAAAAUAUGCUAGCUCUAUCUAGGAAAGAUGGAGUUGCCCUCAUAAUACUAGAGAGACCUGGGACUCUAUCAACAAGUUGCAUCUACCUAAACAUCUACUUCAUAGAGGCUUGUGCACUAGUAGAAAGGUCAUAUAUCGACACCUCCAUAGAAAGUGUAGCAAUAGUGGAAACAGAAACAAAAUAAUUCGACCAAUCCUAACUAUAUGGUCAUAGAGGAUGAUCAAAAGGUAGGUGCCUCAAUUGAGCCAAUAGGUGAGCUCAGCACAAGUGAGUUACAUAGAUAUAAUCUCGAUGAGUAGGCUCAAAUCCCAAACCAAAUGGUAGGUCUUGGACCAUAUCAAACACAAAAUUAGAGACUUCAUACUGCCUCCUGCCUAGCCCUAAAUAGGGCAAGUAGUCCAUACUUUGUAUCAUCCCUAUCAUGACUUUGCUACCAAACUCAUCAAAAGGCAAUGAAAGAUAAUCUCUAGCAAGAUCGUCAAACAUCUUGAUGGUUUGGACUUCAUCAAAGGUAAAUCCAGUCAAGAACAAGUCCUCAUCACUAUGACUAAUCUCCAAUAUAUGCUUAGAUGAAAUAGCAGCAUAAUGAAAGGAACAAAUCGUGAUGACCUGACCAUCAUGGAUAAACUUCACCUUUUGAUGAAGGGAAGACGAUAUAACUCUAGCCUCAUAGAUCCAAGGUCGGCCUAGUAAACAGGUUGAAGGACAUGGGUACCUUCAAAACCUAGAAUAGUGUCAAAAAUGUAACUAGUGCAACCUAGAUGCCUAGCAUCAAUGUCCUCAUAACCUCUUUGUGUGUAUUAUCAUACACUCUCACGAUCCAUGUAGAUGGGUCAAAAUCGAUUGGUCCAAAGCACAAAACGACAGUAGUAGAUAGAGGAAAAAAAUUUAAUGUCGACCAACCCAUUGUCUAACAAGACAAAUGAGACUCGAUGACCUAAAUAACCAAUAGUAAUGUAGAACAACCGAGUAUGGACAGCGUUUUCAAGUGGAAGGUCAUCAUCAGAAAAAAAAAAAAAAAAAAAAAAAAAAACUAUGCACAAAGCUCUAUCAACUGUCAACAUAUGUAUCAACCCACCUAACAAAGUGGUAGUAUCAAUUUAUAUCCAACUCAAAGCCUUGACUAACGCCUUAUGAUGAGUAGUGGAGGUAGCUAACAAGCUCCAAAUAAAUAUGAGAGCCUAAGUAGCCUGUAACUAUCUCAUGAUCUCAUAAUCCUACUCUCUCACCUCAUCCCUAAAAGUUUCUCCAUCAAAAGGUCUAGUCACUACUAGAGGUUGUUGUCAGGUCAUUCUCCCAUCUCAUAUCACAUAUUGAAUCUCCUCUAAGGCUGAGAAAAACAAAUUCUAGCAUAUCCUACAAUCAGUCUAGUUGUGGACUGAGCAACCAUAUAUGGUUAUUAUGGUCAGGAGGGAGGUAAUGUUUAUAAAGUCAACUGUGGUUGCACAUAAGGCAAUGGAAAUUGAUAAUACAGAUGGGGGAACCUGGCCUGAACUAUUGGUGGUCUUGCAUGAAAUUGUAUGAACAAUCUAUGGAGAAAGAAAAAUGACCCUUCCAUCCUUGAUAGCUAUAGAGUCUACUUCUAUUGAUUGGCUAAAUGAAAUAGGUUUCUUCCCCUUAGGAUCUGAAGGGGAAGAAUCAAUUCAUAAUCCUCAGGAGAUACACUUUUCUACAUUGAAAAUGGCCUAGAUCAAAGAUUAAAAGUCCUGAAAAUGGUUACCCAUAAAAUCUCGAGCAAAUCUAGGUUGUAGGUUCCAAAGAACCAAGUCAAUUUGCUCACUCUCCUGAAGCCGUUUGUCUAUCUGAGUGACCGUUCUCCUCCCUCGAGAGAUGAAAUAAGUAGUUAAAUCAUCCUAUUUUUGCUUGAGAGCCUCUAUCUCUCAUCUAGAUAGGUCAAUAUCACUAUUGAAUGCAUACUAGCUCAAAAAUUCAUGUGCCAAAUCCUCCCAAGUAUGUCUACACAAUGCAUCUAAGGAUGUAUACCAAUGCUACAUUGCCCCACUCAGUGACAAAGGAAAAUGCAUAAUCAUUUGCAUCUCAUCUAAGCCAUAGGCUCGUAUGACUGCACUAUAGAAUCUCAAAUGAAUACGAGGGCAACCUAUCCCCAUGUAAUGGUCAAUAUCAGGCAUCUUAAAAUUAGGAGGCAAGCUAGCAACCAACACUCCAUCUAUGUCAUCCCAAACAGAUUGGCCCUCUACAACUCUCAUGUGUGUCAUCCUCUACUCUAACCUUUCCAUGUGAGCAUCAUUUAUAUUAAGGAAAUGAGCAAACAGUAUCUGAACUAGUAAGGCUACCUCGAUAUGAUCGUGUGAAGAAAACGGUGUAGCAUGUUGUGUCUGCUGAAAAUGGGAACAAUUGGGUCUGUAGAUAUCAAAUCCUGAAAAAUCUUCAUAUGUGUACUCUGGCUCUAGUCUAUUCUCUAACUCAAACCACUGAUAACCUCAUGGACAUUGGCCAUAGCAGUAGUUAAUUGAUCCUAGUCACCACCUGCUGAUCCAUACUAGUUUAAUCUAACACCCUCACUAAUCUGCCUUGUACUCGAGUCCAUACAAUUGGCUCUAGACUAAAGACACAAGUCUACUAAGCAAAAAUAGCCUACAAGGAUACAAUGAGCAAUAUCAACACAACCCUUAGGACGGUGAUACAAAAUGAAGGGUGACUCUAACAUGAACUAACUUUCUUACCUGAAUUGAGAGAGUUUUAAUUCAUUCAUCAACCCUAACUCUAAUAGGAAAAACAAGGUAACUGAUGUGAGUGUUAUGAAAAAAAAUGUGUAAAAAGAAAGACACCUCAUCAACCUAAUGAGAAAAGUGUAAAAAGUUAUGAAUUGAGAAAUGAAUCAAGUGUCUUGAUUAAAGGCAAAUGCUGGAAGGUCUAAGAUGAGUCUACAUGGUAAAGCCAUAUGGCAAAAAGGGAGAAAAAAUAUAUAAAUAAUACAAAAGAUGAAGAAUAGUACAUCAAAAAAUGAAUCCUAAUACUAGAGAACCUAAUCUAAGGUUAAACCAAACAUGUGCUAGGGUAUAACCAUAGUAUCAAAAUCAAAUCAAACCAAAAUUGAAAAUCUCUAAACUAAUAUCAAAUAAACCCUCAUUUGAUGCACUGUUAAAACUCUACCACUGGAAAUUCCUGUACAAUGAUGCACCCACGUGUGGGCAAGUAUCAUAAGUCAAGGUUCUAGUUCUCAUCUUAUAGAGGUAAAGGUGGCUCUAAAAGGGUAAAGAUCAAAGGUACCCUAGUAGGAGCAAUCAUACUCGUUGGCAGUAUGCAACCUCCUACACAACUCCGGAGAGACGAGGCGCUUCCAUGCAAGGUGGUCAUCACCUCUACACAUUCACUACCUCAACAUCCCAAGAGGUUUCCUAAUGGUGAAGGCUUCUCGUUGGUUUAUAGCUCCUUAUGACUCCCGCAUUCACUAUGACAUUCUAAGGGUGCACUGUGUGUGGGUGUGGGUGCAUCCAACCAUCCUGCCAAACCAUAGCGAAAAAGUAAACAUACUAAUCACAGAUGAAUCCUCAUAUAGUGUUGGGCUAUACAUGUUUUCAAGCAUCAAACUCCUCGUGGCAGUGAUGUUAUACUGAUGAUGCAUAACAAUUGUUGAAAUAUGAUGAUGAUGUGGCAUAAUCGCAACAAUGGUCAGAGUGGUAUGACAACGAAAAUGGGUAAUGUGGCAUGACCGCAACAAUGGGUGACGUGGUAUCGAUAUUAGUGAUAAGAUGUCAAUGAAGAUCGGAUGGCAGCAUGAUAGUAUUGAUGAGGUGGCUUUGGCAUCGAGUAAGCUAUGUUGGUGUCGUUGAUGUGGCACUAAUCUGAUGGCAGCAUAGUAGCUUUCAAAUCCUAUAUAGCCCAAAACUAGAUCCUACUACUCCUAGUCACUAGCUCGAUUGAAGAGCAAACAUAGUACAAAGAAAAGGUCAUUCCCAACCAAAUAAUACAACCCAAUCAAAUAAGGAAAAUACAACUGAAGUGAAAAAAUAUAGGGAAAUGUCUCGAAUACAUAAAAAAAAAAUGAGAACAAGGAAUGGGUCGACUGAGCUAUGUGAAUCAAAGUAAGAGGAUGCAUGUGUAUCCCACAUAAACAACCAAAUCACGUACCAUGCAGAAGGAAGGUAGUCAUGCAACAUACAGACAUGCAAAUCUUAUACCAACAUGAGAAAAUAUAUACAAGAACAUGAUAACUAGAAACAAUACAAUAAAGUGCAUCCAAAAUAUAUACAAAAUAAUCACGAUGCCAACACUCAGGCGCCUUAAAACAUGUAAAUAUAGCACAAAGGCACCAUGAGAGGUUAUGCGCUGUCCAUUAAUCAAACACCACAUUUCCCUCAACUUGAGUUCAAGUUUGACUCUCUAAACAUCCCUAAUGGAGUCACCAUUUUGUGGACCAGCAUUUUUCACGUACGUCCUCACUUGAAACGGUAAUACUCACUUUUAUUUGUGAAAAUUCAAUCUUUUUUAAAAAAGUUUGAGUCACCACUUAUUUUAGUUUAUUUUUAAAAGGGAAAAUAAAAUAAGAAAGAAAAUCAUAUAGUACUGCUUAUUUGGAAAAGUUAUGUAUGCAAAAAUUGAGUCUAAAUUCGAAGGUCAAGUUACCUAUCUGGAAUAUACGAUGAAAAGUUACAGCACCCCUCUAAGCCCAUUUACCUACGCCUUCUACUAAACAAAUUGAGGGAAUUAUGAUAAUUAAUUAAUUAAUCAUGGUACCAAGAUUAAGGAUACAAAUCAAUGUACAAGAAAAUAAUCAUAAAAGUAUAUUAUAAUAUACAAGAUAAAUGACAAGAGAAUUAAGCAAAUUGAUUCAUUAAAUGGAUUUAAAAAACAAUAUUUUAAAUUAAAAACAAUUUCAAAUGAAUGACUUUAAUUUAUUUAUAUAUAUAUAUAUUAUUUUCAACAAAUCAUUUGAUUCAAUUUUAAUUGUAUUAAAUUUUCGAGGAAGUUAUUUACUUGUAUUGUUACUAAAAAGAAUUUAUUGAAAACAAAUAAAAAAAAGUGAAUUUGAUUUUUAUUUAUAGAAAAAUUAUUUUUAUUUACGUCGUGAUGAAGAGAAUUGUUACAAUUUUAUUUAUAAAAGGAUUUUAAUUUUUUGUUUAAGAAAAGUAAUUUUAAAAAUUAUUUUUAAAAAGAUUUUAUUUUUUUUUACAAAUUUAUCUACAAAGUAUAUUUCAACUCAAUUUUAUUUACAGAAGUAUUAAAAUUCAAUUCAAAUAUAUUGGUAAAAAAAGAUUGGAUAGAAAAAUGAUUUUUACAAAAGAGAAAUCAAUGCUUUUCAAAUUUUAAGAAAAAUGAUUUAUUUUAUCUUUAAUUUGAUUUUUUUUUUUUAAUUAUUAAAAAGAAAUUCUCUAUGUUUGGUUUAAAAAAGGCUUUCUCAAUUUUAUUAAGUUUGCAAAUUAUUUGGGUUUUAUUAAAAAGAUUUCAAAUUUAUUAUUUUAAAAAGUCCAAAUUUAUUAAAAAUAAAAUUAGAAAAUGUGUUUAUUCCUUUUUUCUAUUAAAAAAAAAGUGAUUUGCAUAAUUUUAUUCAAAAAAGAAAAAAAAACGUAUUCCAAUUGGAAUUUUUACUUAAAAAAUAUAUUUUCAUAAUUGUGUUUAACCUUAUUAAAAAAAUUACUUUUAUUUACAAUUUUAAGAAAAGAAUUUUAUAUUUCCAAAAGAAUUUUUCAUUCUUUUAAAGUUAAAAAAAAAAAAAAGGAAUUUUUAUAAUUUUGAUCAAAUAAAUAAGUAAAUGAAUGAAUCGAUUUAAAAAAAUUCACAAUGUUACCUAAAAAAUGAAUUUUUGCUAAAAUUUGAUUUAAAAGAACUCUUUUAUUAUUUUAAAAUUUUAUCUAAAAAAGAAUUUUGCAUUUAAAAUAAUAAUAGUAAAAGAAUUUUGUCUUUUAAAAAAUAAUAAUAAUAUAGUUUACGAACCUAUCUAAAAAUGGAUUUUAGUUUAUGCUUUAUGAAAAAAGGAUUUUUAUCGUUUUUGUUUACAAGAGGAUAUUUCAAUCAAAUUUUUAUUUUAAGAAAAGAGAUUUUGCAAAUUUUAUAUAUAUUAAAAAUUUUACAUAUUUUGUUUAUUAAAGACAUUUCAAUCCAACUUUAUUUAAAAGCUUUUAUUUACAAUUUUUAUUAGAAAAAAUGAUUUAAUAUUUUUAGUUUAGGAAGAUGAUUUUACAACUUACUAAAAAAAAUCUUGUCUUGAAAAAGCUUUAUUAAAAAUAUAAGAAAAAAUAAUUAAAAAAAAAACUCUGUAGGUUUUAAUGAUUUUUUAUUUCUUGUGGUUUGAUUAAUUAAGGAAAGAAUUAUUUUAUAUAUAUAUAUAUAUAUAUAUAUAUAUAAAAUGAGAUUCUACAAUUAUUAGUUUAAACGGUUUCUUUUGUAAUUUUUACUAUUUUUAAAAAAUAGGUGUAUUUUUAUUUCUAAAAUUGAUAUUCAAAGUGAUAUUAGCCAUUUAUCGAAAAAAUGAUUUUUGUUUAUAUUAAAAAAAUAAAGAAAAAAAAUCAAAUUUUCAUUUUUAUUUACAUAUUUGACUAAUGGAAACAACAAACAAGAAUAAAAAUAAAACAAUAAAAAAAUAACUAAUUGAAAUGAAACAAAUAAAUUAAUAAAUGAACAGAAUAUAAAAUAGCCAAAGCACAACUAAGGAUGGCAACAGGGAGGGUUUAGGACGGGUCGCCCCCAUCCCAACUCCGUCUCGUUUAUUCAAAAUAAUUAUCAUCUUCGUCCCAUUAAAAAAUAUAUUAUAUAAUUCUUAGAACUUGCAAAUCAAUAUUUACAAAUUCAUAUUUACAUAAUUAAAAGGAUGAAAAUAAGUAUUUACAGAAUUAAAAGCAUGAAAAUAAGCAUAACAUCUAAACAUGAAAUUAAGUGGAGGGAGAAAUAUAUACUUCAACUGAAUAGUUCGUGGUUUUCAAAUGUAACUCAAUACAAUGUCUCACCUCUCUCACUAAAAAAAAAUUGAAACGAAAACCCCCCAGAGAAAGCUUUUCUCUGUCCCCUUCCCCUCCUACCCUCUUGCCUAUCAGUCUACAUCUACUCAAAAUAAAUAGCAAAGAGCCCCAUGUCGAAGCAUCAUGAAAAUUUUGUAGAGUCGUAUUCUGCUUUCCCAUGAGCUACCCUCUUGUCAAUCUACCACCAAAGCCACCAAUUUGCUUCUCAUUUCCAAAAAGUCCCAUCAUGCACACAUGUUCACCUCAACAACAAUCAUCCCAUGUAGAGAAAACAAAAAGAAACCCAAUUUCAAUUAACAUUCAAGGCCUAAAACAAAUAUCCAAUGCAAAUAGGCUAAAUUAAGAAAAAGAAGUCCAAAUUUACAUACAGAAAACCAAAGCCCAAAUAAUAAGGCCAACUAACAAGCCCAAAAUUUUACGAUGAAACUUUAAAGAUCAAAAGAAAGGUUUUCACCUCAUUGUCUUGAAGAACCCUAAGGCCAAAAUUGAAGUGGCGACCAUGGAAAUGAAGGUCUCGGUGGUUGGUGUAGAUGAGUUAUUGGCGAUGGACUGUGAUGAUGGAGAAGGUGCGACAUGGCGAUUGUGAGGUGCACAAUGGGUGUGAAGAUGGUAGUGGAUAUGUGUGAGAGAGAAAUGGAAGAAAGGAAGGUGAGAGAAAGAGAAGAGGGUAGAGAAAAAUAAAGUGAAAGAAAUAAAAUGAGAGAAAAAGAAAAGAAGAGGAAGAAGUGGGUGACCAUGUGAGAGAAAGAUAGACAGACAGAAAAAAGAAAAAAAAUGAAGAGAAAGAAAAUGAAUAAGAGAAAAAAAUAAGAGGAAGCAAUGAAAGAGGUAGGAGAAAAGUUGGGCAAAAUUUUGGAGUCAAUACUAACUUUUGAAUUUGGACUUGAUUUUUCAUAGACAUGUUUUUUUUUUUCAAAAAAAGUUUGCCUUCAAACUUUAGGUUAUUUUUUCCAUGGUUUUAAAAACCAAACCGGACCAACCGGUCCAACCGCCAACUAGUCACGAUUCUGGUCCGGUCCGGUCAAUUGGACUGAAAUUUCAUUGAAUCAAGGUCAAACCACUUGAACCAACGGUCCAACCGAUGAACCAGACGAACCGGCCAGUUCCCUCCAAACUGGCCGAUUCGAUUAAAUUUUUUUUUUUUUAAACAACAUCAAAAUGACACCGUUUUGGAGGGUAUAUAAUGAAAAUCAUGACUACAAAAUGCAAACCCUCCCUUCUCCCCUCACAACAGCUAUCGGCCUGCCACUCCACCCGUUCCCGACGCAUCGCAGCCUACAACACCCAGAUAACUCUCGUCGGUGGUCGUUACAAGUCGGCAAUCCUCUCUCUGCCAUUGCCUCUUCCUAGUUUCCCACCGCAGCAUUGGAAGCUAGCGUUGGAAACCCCUCCUCCCGGUUGUAAACAUCCCACACCCCUCGGCCAAUUGUAAACCCCCCAUCCUCGGCAUUUCUGAGAAAAGAGAGGGAAAGGGAAAUAAACGAAAAAAAAACUGUCAUUAUUCAUGCAAUCAGUUUGAUAGUUUCUUUUUAGGGGGUUCAAUUGUAAAGAAAAAACUUUGUUUGAUAUUUUUCUUUUUGGGGGGUUCAAUUAGUUUGGUAGUUUGACUAGUUUCUUUACUAAUUAAGAUAGAAUUUAGAUAUAAUUUAUUAAUUUUUAUAUUUUUAAUAAUAUAUAAAAUAAAAAUAUAUAUAUUUAUGACGUCACUGUUCGACCACUGGUCCGACCAGUGAACCGUAAACCAGUAACUUUUUCAGUUCAAUGACCGGUCCGGUUAUGAAAACAUUGAUUUUUUCUCUAUUUUUUCAUGAGUUAAUAUAAACUUUUUACUGAAUAAAAAAAAACAAAAUAUUUGAUUUUUUCUAAAUAGAAAAAUUAAUAUGUUGGUUUUUCUUUACUUUUUAAUACUUAAUAGAAAUAAAAUAUUAAAAAAUAAACAACUUAAUACUUAAUACUAUUAAGCAUUAAAAUUCUGUUUAAAAUUAAGUGGAAAAAAAAAACAAAUACUACCUAAGAGAGUGUCUAUUUUUUUAACUUUUUACUUAAAGUAAUUUGCUUUAAAACUUUAAAUUGUUUGUUUUUCUAUUUUUCAUAACUUAUUAUAAAUUUUUUGUUGAAUAGAAAAAACUAAAAUAUUUUGUUGUUUUUUAAUAGAAAAAGUAACAUAUUAGUUUUUCCUUACUUUUUAAUACUUAAUAAAAAUAAAAUAUUAUAGAAAUAAACAACCUAAUACAUAACACUACUAAACACUAUUUAGUUUUAAAUUCUAUUUAGAAUUGAGUAAAAAAACAAACACCAUCUAAGUUUUUUCUUUCUAAAAAUAAGCAAAAAUAAGUAACCACUUUAAUUUGUAAAAAUCAUUUUCUACAAAUAAAAAUCAAUCUCAUCACCAAAUAAAAACCCACAUGAAAAAUAUGGGUUGACAAAAAUUUAAAUACAAAUUCUCAAACUUAAAAAUAGAGAUGAUUUUAGGUUUCUUAAAGGGCAUGUAAACCCCAAAAUUUGUCCCAAUUUUAUUUUUACAUUAAUUAUGAGCCCAAUUUUAAAUCCUGAUUACAUGUAUUUUUUUGGCCCACUCACCCUUUAAUUCUUAGUUUUUAUUAUUUUGUAAAUUGUUUUAUUUUUAUUUUUAUUUUUAUUUUUAUUUGUUAUUAUAUUACAUUAUAUUUUUUAUCUUAUUUAUUAUUUAUUUAUUUUUUAUUAUUUUCUCUCUCCUCUCUCUUCUUCCAUUCCCCACCUACCCCACCAUCCACUCUCUUUCUCUCAUCCAUACCCCCCACGUGACCUUCCCUAUUUUCAUUCAUUAUUUUUCCCUCAAUUUUUUUUCCCACUUCCCUAUCCAUUCUUCUUCCAUUUCCACUCUUCAUCAUUGCUUUUUCCUUUUUUUUAUUUAUUUCUUCCUCCUCAUUCCCAAGGCAAGGUGGACGACGACCCCAUGGCUUUUCCAAUUUUUUUUUUUUUCUUUUUUUUUCUCCCAGCAACACUCUUCCCAUUUGGCCUCUCCACUUUCUCCCGCUUUCUUUUUGAGAUUUUUUCCCCCCAAUUCCCAAGGACGGCCGCCAAUUUCCCCUUCAUUUUUUUUCUUUUUCCUGCCCUUCUUCUUCUUUCCCCCAGGCUGCUACUCUGGACGACCCGAAAAAAAAACUCAAGAAGGCCGGAGGGUUUUUUUGGGCUCUAUUUUUUUGCUUUUCUCUCCUCUCUCCCUUUACCCAUUCCUAAAAGGUCGGCCUCCCAUUUUUUUCCAUUCCCUCUUCGUUCACUCCAUUUCUACAACUCCCUACUCCGAACUCCUAUUCAUAGCCGGCCCAUCUCCUCAUUUCCUCCCACCCAUUUUUUUUCCUUUUCUCUUCUCUCCCCCAACUCCUUUCUUCCAUUUUUACUUUGAUUUAUUUAUUUACUAUUAUUAUUAUUAUUUUCUAUUUCCCUCCUUAAACUCUCACACUACCGAAGGCAUGACGCUAGUGCCUUUUCUGGCACCCCCUUCAUCCCCAUUUUCUCCCAUUUUAUUUAUUUAUUUAUUUAUUUUUAUUUUUAUUUAUUUUAUUUUAUUUUUGUUUCCAAAAAGCUACCCACUACCGCCGGCAAAGUCACCGGUCGGUCGUCGGCGACCCCCCAUCGGUCUCCAACCUCCUCCCUUUUUCUCUCACACUCUCACUUUCCCGUAUCACUCAUUUUCCAUUUUUAUUGUUAUUAUUACUAUUUUUUUUUUCUUUUCUUUAUCUUUCUUGAUUUGAUUUUAAUAGCAAUUGUAGUUUAUAAAAUUUGAAUUAUUAGAUUAAUAUGUAAUUUUGGUUAAUUUAUUAUUGGUGAAUUAAUUUGAAAUUUGUUAAUUUGGGUUUGUGGGUAUAUUGCAUUUGGUGAUUAAUUUGAGAUAUUUGGAUUAUAUCAAUAGCAUAUUGUUUAUUUUAAUUGAACUUGGGCUUAUUGCUUAUGGGUUAUUUGUUUGGGCUUAUUGGGUUUGGCUUUAAAUGUUAUUUCCUUUGACCAUGUGUAUUAUUCAUGUGGGCUUAUUGGUAAUUGGUUAUUUGUUUAGGCUUAUUGGAUUGAGCUUGAGAUAUUAUUUUCUUUGGUCAUGUGUAUUAUUACUGUGGGCUUCUUAAUUGAUGUGAAUUUUGGGCCCAUAAUGUGGGUAAAAUUUGUUGGAUGAUUUGAAUAUUUGAUAUGAGCUUGGCCCAUUUGAAUUAUUUAAUUUGGACAUGGGAUAAUUAUGAUGUAUAUUAAAUUAGGCUUGGAUUAUGGAAUAUUAAAUUUAGGCCUAAUGAGAUUUAUUUUAAUUUAUCAUGUUUUGUGUUUGAUUAAUUGAGCUUAUAUUUUGGCCAUUAAUUUGAAAAUUUUAGAUUAGGGCUUAUGACAUGUGAGAUACUUUUUAUUGGGUUAUAUUUGUUAAUUUGGGCCCAUUUUUGAAAUUUAUUGAGCUAAUUUGAAACUGGAAUAAUUAUUUUGGACUCUACAUAUUUUUUUAUAUUUACAUUUGUGUUAUUCUUGUUUUUACAUGGACCCACUCUACAAUCUUGUUGACUGAGUACGAAUUAAUGACACAUAAAGCUUAUUGUAAGUUUAUUUGGGUACAUAUUUUAUUUCCCACUUUUAUUUGGUUUUAUUUUUAUUAGUUCGUGUAAAUAUUCGUUUGUAUGUAUUUAUUGGGUGUGUACAGAAUUGAAUAUCGAACAAAAUAGAAAUUUUGUUUAAAUGAGAGAAAGAAUUCAAUAAAUAUGUUUUGAUAAAACAAUAAUUUUAACAUAUUAUUUUUAAUAAAAGAAAGUUUUUUUUAUUAUUUAUAAAAAUUCAGAAAAAUGCAUUUAGAAAAAUCCAAAAAAAAAUUGUUUUUAAUAGAAUCCGAAAAAUUGUUUUUAAUAACAUUGUCCAAAAAUUUCUUUGUUUAAUAAAAAUUUUCCCAAAAAAUUGUUUUGUAAAUAAAGUUGCCCCAAAAAUUAAUUUUUAAUAAAAUUGUCUAAAAAUAUUUUUUUCAAAUGAAUUCUUUUUCUUUAAUUAAAAUGGGAUUAAAAGUGUUUUUCAGAAAUAGAGGAUUUAAAUCUUUGUUUUUUUUUUUUUAAAUUAAAAUUUUUUUUGCAAAUAAAGUUAUGUCAUUUUAAAUAAUUUGUAAAAAUCACUUUUUUAAAUGAAAAUGAUUCUAAAUACUUUUGUAAAUAAAAUUGUAAAAAUUCAUUAUUUUCUAGUAAAAGCAAGUAAAAAUAAUUUUUGUGCCCAAAUUGAAAUUUUGUAAUAAGUUCUUUUGAUACAAUAAUUGUAAAUAGCUUUUUUGAAAAUUGAAUACAAAUGAAAUUGAGAAAAUAAACUAAUUCUUUUUUGUAAGUAAAUAAAUUGAAAUCAUUAAUUCAAAAUCAUUUUUAAUAAAAUCCUUUGAAAUUUCUUUAAAACUUUUUUUUAAUAUAUUUUAUUUAUUCAAUUCAAUAAAUCAUCUUGCAUAAUUCUCUUAUUAUUUAUUUUGUGUAUUUUUGUAAUUAGAUUUCAUCAUUGUUUUUGUGUAUAUUGAUUUUCAUCAUGACUUAUACAUUGAUUAUUUUUCUUGGUAUCCAUAAUUAAUUAAUUAAUUGCCACAAUUCCUUUAAUUAGUUUAGUAGAGGUCGUAUGUAUACGGGCUUAGAGGAUGCUACGGCUCACCACCGUACCUUCCCAAUAAGUAACUUGACCCUCAGACCUAGACUUAGUUUUUCGCAGACCUGUUUUUCCUUCAGGAGUCACACUUAGGGUUUUCUUUCUUAUUUUUUUUUUCCCUUAAAAAAAAUAAAACAAAAAUAAGUGGUGACUCCAAGUCUUUUUCUAAAAAUCAAAUUUUCACUAAAUAAAAUAAAAAACGAGUUUCGCCAUUGAGUGGGAACGCAUCGAGCAAAAUACGGGGUCCACAAAAUGGCGACUCCACUAGGGAUUUUUAGUCAAACUUGAACUCGAGUUGAAGGGAAUGUGGCGUUUGAUUGGUCGAUCAAUGGAUACCCCUCUCUAUGUGUCUUAGUAUGAUUGGUUGUUGAUUACACAUUGAGAGCUUUGCUAUGUUUAUCUGUAAUACAUGUUUGGUUGUUAUGUUCAUUUGUGAUGUUCACAUAUUGAUUACAUCGAUUAAUUCUCUUACCUACUUUAACAUAGUGACUCUUCUUGUUGUAUGAUUAUCUUGCUUUCCUGGACAUGUAUAUUCUCAUUUUUGUAUAUCUCAUUCAUUUUGGCAUGAUUGAUUCUAUUUGUUGUAUAUUAUCUUGUUUAUCUUGACAUAUUGUCUAUUCUUGUUAUAUUCCUAUCUUGCUUAUCAUAUUCUUGCCUAGCUUGUGUGUAGAUAUGAGUUAUAUACCUGUUAUUUGCAUGACUGCUUGGUGCAUGACUGUUAUUCUUUUAUGUGAUGCAUAUAUUUCUUGUCUAUGUGGGACACACAUCUAUCUCCUUACCUCAAACUCCUUAGACUCGGUCGACCUUGUUUCACUUGAUCUCGUAUUUGAUUUGAGACUUGUUACUUUGUUUGCUCUUCGACCGAGCUAGCAGUUAGGAGUAGGGUUUAGCGACGGGCUAUAUCGAUGUUUGGGAGCAUUCUGGAAGAGGCCGACACGUUGAUGUUGAUGGGAGUCCGAUCUUUAACCUGUAUAGCCCAAAGCUAGGUUUCAUGGAUAUUUGUGUGAUCAGUAUGUUUCUUUUUUCUACUUUAGCUUCAUAGGAUUUUUGGAUGCACCCACACCGCUCACCAUGCACUUUAGUCGACUACUGAGUGUUGAGAGUUUUGAAAGGUUUCACCAUAGGAAACCCCCUGGGAUGUCAAGGUAGUGCAUGUGUGGAGGUGAUGACCACCUUUUAUGGAAGCGCCCCGUCUCUUCAGAGACGUGCAGAGGGUUGCGUACCAUCGGAGGCUAUGAUUGCUUAUGUUAGGGAUCUUUUAAAGUCCACCCUUAUCAUUUUAGAGCCACUUUGACCUUAUAGGUUGAGUCAUAGAUCCUUCAAUUAGGAGUUUCUCCCUACACGUGGGUGCAUCUAAGGGCCUUCAGAGCCUCUUUGGUCAUAGUUUGGAUUCAGUAUUCCCUCUUUUAGUCUCCAGUUGAGAGUGCACCAAGAUCAGUACGGGUUUAAGUUACAGUCGGACAGCCCUUCUACACUUUGAUGCUUUGCUCAUUCCAGUUCAGACUAACAUUUCUUCCAUGUUUUCACUGUGCAUACCAUAUCUCGUGCUUCAUGCUUUUCGGGAUUGGUUUUUCAUUCUCAGUGUGGAUUUACCAUCUUGGGUCAGAGUAGAAGGGAGCUUAGUUGGCUUUUUCGAGAGAUUAGACAUGGAUCGGGUUGUCACAGUUGAUUAGUUCACGACCGCCAUGGCUUCUAUUCAGGAGGCCUUGGCUAGUCUCAAACAAGAGAUAGACAGUUAGUAGAGUAGACAACUUGUAGUUCAGGAUGAGAUGCCUUAUGAUUCAUUGCCACCUUAUCUAUUACAUGGUCAUUCUGAGGUUGUCUCACCUACAGUAGUACAGACCACAGUCCUUGAGGAUAUGUAUGCAUGGAUCAUAUUGAGUAGCAUAUCAGGCAGUCGAGGGUAUCUGACAGUUCAUCAACUUGGGAUGAUCUUGAUAGUAUACUAGUGGCCAGUCUACUAGCCAAGUUCAGGAUGCUUGACAUUGAGAGGUACACAGGCGUUGGUUGUCUAUGUAUUCAUCUUCGACUCUACAAUACUGCGAUGAGGGCCCAUGGGUUAGAUGAGUCAUAGAUGAUCAACAUGUUUCCUAUAUCUCUGAGUAGCGCAGCCCAACAUUAGUUCGCAUUUUUGGAGUCAUCGCGACGUAGGACAUGGGAUGACCUAGCUUAGGAGUUUCUGUGACAGUUUUCAUUUAGUACUGUCGUAGAUGUGUUGAGGAGAGAGCUUGAGGGUUUCAGACAGAGAUCAGAUGAGUCCAUUUCUUCCUUCAUCUCCCGCUGGUAUGGGAAGAUAGCAGAGAUUGUUGAUUGACCAUUAUAGAAAAGUGACUUAGUCUUGAGGGUCAUCAGAGGAUUGAUUAGAGAUCCUAGAGGGAAGUUUAGACCCAGCUAGAGCAGACCUUAUUUCAUCAGGAAGUUGACCCUAGAGGGCGCUGCAUGGUUGAUGGAUUUAGAUGGAAACCAAUUCUCGGAGCCAACCAAUGUGGAUCAGUUAAAGAGGUACUAUAUUUGAGACCAUGGUUGCAGGAUGGGUGGCCAUCAUUUCGGUUAGCCAUAUACCUUGUUAUUCCCUUUUGAUAUAUAGUCCGUUGCUAGCCCAUUGAGCCUCGCACGCACAUUACAACAUUUCUUUCUUAUCGCCUUGCUCACAUUUUUCACACCGAGAUAAAGGCCCUUUUAGUGUAUGCAUUCAUUAUUUGGGAGUUCCAUGAGCCUUGGACCUAGGGGCGCAUUCUUGUUAUUAUCUUUUCUCAUCACUGCAUCACUGCAUUCCAUCGUAUCUCAUUGGUUAUGUUCUUCAUAUUUUCUUCUUUAUUCUAUCUACUGCUUGUUUUGCUUCAUAUUCUUUCCACCCUGAGUGGUGAUCCUCCUCAGUUCAUUACAUGGAGGGUAGUCACAUCAUUACCAUUAUCUAUCCUACAAACACUGGUUCAAAGAUUCUUAGUUUGAGAAGGUCAUCUUGUCAUAGAGAGUUUUGUUACCUUAGCGCUCAAGAGCGUGUCUAUCCAUUAUUGAUAUCAUCUUUGGGGCUUACUUUGUUCAUGUUCAAGGUGUGUAAAUUUGUAUAUAUGUAAAAAAAAUUGAAAAAUGAAAAAAAAAAAAAAAACACGUGUGAAUUAUUUUCUAUCAUUGAGUAUGUAUAUUGAUGUUCAAGGGUCACUUGAUUGAGUAUGUUUGUUGAUGAGAGUUCGUAUGUGAGCUUUCUGAAACCCUCCAUACUUUGUAUUCAUUUUUAUUGUAUAUUUUGAGAGCGAGAUGAGUGGCCUUCUCUUAAGAGCUCUGGGUCAUUGUCUCUUCCAUCAUUACAUUCAUUGUUGAUGCAACUUCACUCCAUGUCUGAUUUGAGUUGAUCACUACUCCUCUUUGUGUUAUUUGUUUCAUCAUCAUCCUCGUUUUCGCUUCUGAUUCAUCAUUUUCACUUCAUGUCUUAUUCUUUUCUUACAGCAAUCCAUCUCGAGUUUGAUACUCUCUUCGCAUCAUCAUUACACCUAUCACUAUCAGUUCAUUUUGUUUCAUUUGUCUCAUCAUCGACAUCAUAUUCACGUUAGGCAUCCUCAGGUCCAUGGCUCACAAGAUUCACUAUACAUGUUGCAUUUCAUAUAUGAGGGCAUGGGUUUUUUAUCAUUGGGUAUUUGAGCCUAGUUUUCCUUCAUUUCUAUCACCCUAUCACCUUAGCCUACAUUACAUCUCGUGUCUUAAGACCACCUUGAGGCCAUGGGAUUAGAUGUCAUCUUCGACAGCCUCUACUUGGACAGGUAUUUGAGAUUUGGUUGAUAUUUAGAUAUUGCCAUGCCUCUUCUUCUAGGAGUCGUCUCUUUGAUGUUUAGAUCUGAUUCAAUUAUGUUUGGAUUACCGGGAUCAUGCGCUUGAUGAUGGAUGAUUUGAUGUCACCUAAUUUUUUUUAUCUAUCACAUAUUCAAUGUCAUAUUGGGGCAUAUUCCGUUUCGGGCAAGAUCCACAUAUCUUCACAAAGUUACAUGCUUAUCCCCACUUGCGAGAUGUACGCUGAGAUGAUUGACUAGUUCGCUAUUUUAUGAUGAUCCCUCAGUGGAACCUCUAUGGAGCCAUUCAGCCAAGCCCACAUUUCUCGGCAUUUGGUUACCACCAUGCUUCUUAUCCUAGGAGACGUUCCCUAGUUGUUUGGAUUUGAUUUGGAUCACGGAAAUCACAUGUUCGAUGAUAGAUGAUUCCAUGUCACUUGGUUUCUGACCUACCGUACAUUCGACGCCAUACUGGGGCAUAUUUCUGUCAUGGACGAGAUUUAUAGAUCUUCACGGAGUUGCAUGCUUAUCCCCACUUAUGAGAUGUACGUCGAGAUGAUGACGUGUUCAUUAUUUUAUCAUGAUCCUUCGGUGGAGCCUCUCUGGAUCUAUUCAGCCAAGCCCACAUUUUUCGGCAUUUGGUUGCCGUCAUGCUUAUUAUUCCGAGAGACAUUUCAUAGAUGUUUGGGUUUGAUUUGGAUUACGGAGAUCGCGCAUUUGAUGAUGAAUGAUUUCAUGUCACCCUAUUUCUGACCUAUCAUACAUCUAGUGCCAUACUGGGGCAUAUUUCCAUUUUGGAUGAGAGUUAUAGAUCUUCAUGGAGCUGUGUGAUCACCCCCACUUACGGGAUGCGCACCGAAACGAUGACAUGUUCGCUAUUUUUAUGAUGAUUUCUUAGUGGAGCAUUCCGGGAGCCAUCCAUCUAGGCCCGCACUUCUUGGCACUUAGAUGUCAUCAUUCUUCUUCAUCUGAGAGGUACAUCUUGGAU
rnacentral:lncRNA from 1 species